GAGAAGCUGCGAAGAUGGCGGAGUAAGGCGUGCCGCUGCAAACUGGCCUCUGGGCCGGGGGCGAGCAGCCCCCGGGAGGCCGAGUGCAUCUGUUGGACCGUGCGAGGAGAAGAAAAAAAAUAUCGGCCAGAGGAGAGGAACUAACCGAACAUUCUUCCUCCCUACCUUAUAGAGGGGAGUGGUCAUCUACACUAAAGCAAAGUGUUAGGCGCGUCCGUGCGAAGAGACCACCAAACAGGCUUUGUGUUCCUUAUCACAGGAAGAAAAUUUUCCUUGACCUUUAGGUGCUUUUAUAUUCAUCUCAAAAACAAAAUUCUGAACUCAGGACUUGGCAAACCACCGCUGAAACUUCACUUCUACACAGAGGCUUUCUUUCCCAGAAACCCAGACCAGAUGGAGUUUCACUCUGUCGCCCAGGCUGGAGUGCAGUGGCACGAUCUCGGCUGACUGCAGCCUCUACCUGCUGGGUUCAAGCAAUUCUUCUGCCUCAGGUUCCUGAGUAGCUGGGAUUACAGAAGUGACCUCUCAAGGCAGCCAGGGCAGCAUGGGUAGAAUACAGAUGGAAACCAACGGGAAUCCCACAAGAACCACAGAAUAAAAGGUUCCAAAGCUGGACUGUACUGCUGCCAUCUCGGCUCACUGCAACCUCCCUGCCUGAUUCUCCUGCCUCAGCCUGCCGAGUGCCUGCGAUUGCAGGCACGCGCCGCCACACUUGACAGGUUUUCAUAUUUUUUUGGUGGAGACGGGGUUUCGCUGUGUUGGCUGGGCUGGUCUCCAGCUCCUAACCGCGAGUGAUCCACCAGCCUCGGCCUCCCAGGGUGCCGGGAUUGCAGACGGAGUCUCGUCUCGUUCACUCAGUGCUCAAUGGUGCCCAGGCUGGAGUGCAGUGGCAUGAUCUUGGCUCGCUACAACCUCCACCUCCCAGCCGCCUGCCUUGGCCUCCCAAAGUGCCGAGAUUACAGCCUCUGCCCAGCCGCCACCCCGUCUGGGAAGUGAGGAGCGUCUCUGCCUGGCCACCCAUCGUCUGGGAUGUGAGGAGCCCCUCUGCCUGGCUGCCCAGUCUGGAAAGUGAGGAGCGUCUCUGCCCGCCCGCCAUCCCAUCUAGGAAGUGAGGAGCGCCUCUUCCCGGCCGCCAUCCCAUCUAGGAAGUGAGGAGCGUCUCUGCCCGGCCUCCCAUGGUCUGAGAUGUGGGGAACGCCUCUGCCCUGCCGCCCCGUCUGGGAUGUGAGGAGCGCCUCUGCCCGGCCGCGACCCUGCCUGGGAGGUGAGGAGCGUCUCUGCCCGGCUGCCCCAUCUUGAGAAGUGAGGAGACCCUCCGCCCGGCAGCCUCCCUGUCUGAGAAGUGAGGAGCCCCUCCGCCCGGCAGCCACCCCAUCUGGGAAGUGAGGAGCGUCUCCGCCCGGCAGCCACCCUGUCGGGGAGGGAGGUGGGGGGUCAGCCCCCCGCCCAGCCAGCCGCCCCGUCCAGGAGGGAGGUGGGGGGGUCAGCCCCCCGCCCGGCCAGCCGCCCCGUCCGGGAGGGAGGUGGGGUGGUCCAGCCCCCCGCCCGGCCAGCCGUCCCGUCCUGGAGGGAGGUGGGGGGGUCAGCCCCCCGCCCGGCCAGCCGCCCCGUCCGCGAGGUGAUGGGCGCCUCUGCCCGGCCGCCCCUACUGGGAAGUGAGGAGCCCCUCUGCCCGGCCACCACCCUGUCUGGGAGGUGUACCCAACAGCUCAUUGAGAAUGGGCCAUGAUGACAAUGGCAGUUUUGUGGAAUAGAAAAGGGGGAAAGGUGGGGAAAAGAUUGAGAAAUCGGAUGGCUGCUGUGUCUGUGUAGAAAGAAGUAGACAUGGGAGACUUUUCAUUUUGUUCUGUACUAAGAAAAAUUCUUCUGCCUUGGGAUCCUGUUGAUCUAUGACCUUACCCCCAAUCCUGUGCUCUCUGAAACAUGUGCUGUGUCCACUCAGGGUUAAAUGGAUUAAGGGCGGUGCAAGAUGUGCUUUGUUAAACAGAUGCUUGAAGGCAGCAUGCUCCUUAAGAGUCAUCACCACUCCCUAAUCUCAAGUACCCAGGGACACAAACACUGCGGAAGGCCGCAGGGUCCUCUGCCUAGGAAAACCAGAGACCUUUGUUCACUUGUUUAUCUGCUGACCUUCCCUCCACUAUUGUCCUAUGACCCUGCCAAAUCCCCCUCUGCGAGAAACACCCAAGAAUGAUC
ensembl:lncRNA OIP5-AS1 OIP5 antisense RNA 1